GAAAUUUUCUGAGAUAUAAUUGUUUUUAAUAAUAAUAUAACAUAAUAUUCAAAUUAUUAUUUAGAUUACUUUUCAAUAACUUUUGCCUACCGUUUUACUAAAAUUAAAUGAAUGAUAUAUCAUUGAAUUUAAAUUUAACUCAUACAUCACAGUUAUUUACUCAAUCACGAGAUCUCAACAUCCACAGCAGAGAACUUUCCAUUAUUUUUAAAUUUGUUAAGUAUAAAUAAUGUUGUCAAACUUUAAAUAACUAUGUAAUUAAAAAAAGAAUUUGCCUGUGUAAAGAACAACUUUUUAGGAACCUGUAUUGAGUUCUCAAGUUUUGAACGAUCUUUGAAUUUGUUUUCAGUAUUUAUAAAAAAAAAAGUUUAAAGUCUUUUUUUUAGUAAUUCACUGGGGAAAGUAUAAUCAUAUACUAUUCUCAACGUAAUAAUUAGCCUUAAUUCUUUUAGAUUAAAUAUUGGUAAUUUUAGUAUUUCAUUAUAUUAAUAAUUGAUACAUACAUAAAUUUAAUUGAUAUUAUUUUAUAAAUUUAGAAUAUUAAUUGUUGUGUACCAGGAUGCAGAACUGUUAAUAUUAAUGUUACUUACGAUGAAGAUAUCAGAUUAUUACGACCUAAAAGAGAAAAUUUAAUUAACUGGAGUUUAAUAUUACAAGUAAGGUUAACUUUGGACAGUUGCAUAUGUGAACGACACUUCAGACGCGAAGAUCUUAUAUAUCCAAGAGUAUUUAUAGAUGGUCCAAUUAUAAUAAAACCAUCAUUAGUUCCUUCUACAAUGCCAAUACCAAUUGAUAAUGUUGAGGAGUAGUAUGGUUCAAACGGACCCUCCUUUGAUGUCGGAUCAAACUGGAAAAAGAAAAUUCCAAUUAAUGCUACUCAAUCUAAUGCUAGAAAUAAUGUACAAGAUAAUACAGAUUAGUGUUGUCCAUCUAAUAAUUACAUGUCAACUGAUGACUGUUCAACCAUAGAAUAAAAGCUAAUACACAACUCGAGUAAUACUUACUACUUAACUUUAAAUAUUUCUGGAAUUCUAAAUAUUAUGAAACCAAACCGUUAAUUUAAUUCAUUAUUUUUAUUGUAUUUACAUAUUUUUAAGUGUAUUUAUAAGUCAUUUGUAUUUUUGUAAAAAAAAACUAUCAUUGUAAUCUUUUAUGUUAAUUUUAAUAACACUACAUUUAGUGUUAUAACGAGGGUUCGAGAACUGCCAGGAAUAGUAAAUACAUUCCAAGUUAUUAUUCAUA